rnacentral:lncRNA from 1 species
CUAUGGUCGUAAGGCUCUGAUACAAACUUGUAAAAACUAAGAUGCGACACUUUCGUUAUUUCGGGGCGAGGCCUCAAAAGUGGAAAGGUUCGCAUCUAAGCGUAUCGCAAGCAGGAUAACAUUGCCAUUAGAUAAAUAGAGAGAUGAGCAUAAGAUUCGGCUUACACUCGCUGCAUGGUAGAUUACAAUCUACACAAGCAUUCAUCAUUCAUACAUAAGACAGGGUCCGACUACGCACAAGAUAAACGACAAAAUAACGCUAUCCCGCCUUGCUAGGCCCACGAUCACGACCAAGCGCCUCUAAUCCUUGGGAUACGUCACGUACAGUCUGCCACUAUCUUCGUCGAACUCCCACCUCAGCUGGGUAUCCUCAGGGAAGUCUGCAUCUAGAGUACAUGUAACUGUGGGUGGCUAUAGUAAACAGUGAGCCACGAGGACUCAACAAUCCCAUGACCUUGGUAUCGAGUCUAACUAAGUUAAUAGGUGAGGUAGGGUUAAGUGUUUGAGACUGCAGUAUCCUAUGCAUAUAUGGUGGCUAACUUACGAAGAACAGAAAUAUGUUAUGGUGGUCUACGUAAGACAGUCGAGAUCUAAGAAUGAUCACUAAGUGAUCCUGAACGCCUACUUACGUCAUUCAUAACCCCACCGUGUUCUCGAUCUGAGAACGAGCUCUGAAAGAGACGGUCACGGUUACACAUACAGUUGGCUAGUUUUAUUUAAGUUAAUUUAAGUUAUCUAGAACCAGAUGUUAACAAAAUAUCCAUGUUUGCCACAUAACCACGGGCUCGGCUUUUCGAAAGAUUGAACCCUGUAGGGCUGCUCCAACUAGUCCAUCACAAAUUACCACAGGUCGCAAAGUAAUCUACGACCACGAAACUCGCAAUCUCGUCGGAUUCCUUAUAGGAAAACCUCAACUCCGAGGAGACCCAAAGUAUCACUAGAAUCC